rnacentral:rRNA from 3 species
CCUAUCAGCUUGUUGGUGAGGUAAUGGCUCACCAAGGCGACGACGGGUAGCCGGCCUGAGAGGGUGACCGGCCACACUGGGACUGAGACACGGCCCAGACUCCUACGGGAGGCAGCAGUGGGGAAUAUUGCACAAUGGGCGAAAGCCUGAUGCAGCAACGCCGCGUGAGGGACGACGGCCUUCGGGUUGUAAACCUCUUUUAGCAGGGAAGAAGCGAAAGUGACGGUACCUGCAGAAAAAGCACCGGCUAACUACGUGCCAGCAGCCGCGGUAAUACGUAGGGUGCAAGCGUUGUCCGGAAUUAUUGGGCGUAAAGAGCUCGUAGGCGGUUUGUCGCGUCUGCUGUGAAAUCCCGAGGCUCAACCUCGGGUCUGCAGUGGGUACGGGCAGACUA